UACGUAGGGGGCAAGCGUUGUCCGGAUUUAUUGGGCGUAAAGAGCGUGUAGGCGGUUUGGUAGGUCCGUUGUGAAAACUCGAGGCUCAACCUCGAGACGCCGAUGGAAACCAUCAGACUAGAGUCCGGAAGAGGAGAGUGGAAUUCCUGGUGUAGCGGUGAAAUGCGCAGAUAUCAGGAAGAACACCCAUGGCUAAGGCGGCUCUCUAGUACGGUACUGACGCUGAGACGCGAAAGCGUGGGGAGCGAACAGG
rnacentral:rRNA from 1 species